UACUGCACAAUAUAUGUAGAGAGAUGAAAGAAGAUUUACCAAAUGAUAAUUUUGAGUUAACGGAACCACAUAACGAGACUGAAGACAUUAUUGAAGUCGAAUAUAAUGAUGAUGGUAGAGACCAAGACUCGACAAUGAGAGACAUGCUCUUAAAUAACUAUUUUGCAAGAUUAGUUACAGAUUAAUUACAGAUUUAAAAUUGGUACAGAUUAAUACCAGCAAUGAAAUUUAAUAAAAUAUGUACAUAUAUAAUUUUACAAUUUUAAAUAUAAAUAAUAAAUAUUGAAUUAAUUUUUAAUUAAAAUUCAUUUUUAUCAAGGUUCAAUAAUGUUUUUUUUUUAAUUUCUAUAUCCAAUUCCAAAGCUUUGACACGUAACUCAUGUUCAAUUUUAUCCCAUUCAAAACGCAUUGCUGUUCUCUCACUUUCCAUCUUAACCAAAUCCAACUUCGCAAGAAGAGAAAUUCACCUGCCUAUCUCUUUUUGUGUUAAUCAUUUUACAAAAUAUAGAUAACUAAUAACAGUAAAAUCCCAACGGUAAAAAAGACAAAACGGUAAAACGGUAAUGUAAACAUAAAAUAAAUGAACAUGUAAAAUUCAGAUAUUAUAAAAAAAAUAGCAUCAGUUUUCAGUGUUAUCAAAAUAUAAUAUGUUCCAUUAUCAGUUUGUUAUUGCACAACAGCUGGUUUCAAUAGCCAAUGAAAAUCGUUGUUAUGUUUGAGAUUUAUUAACUGACGGAUAGUACUAGCGGUGACAUUGUAAUAAUGGUUUAAUCUAAACUUGCCUCUAAAGUCCCCGCUACGCUAAACUGCACGCUAGCUUAACUGACAGAUAAUUAUAAUUUAGCAAGACAUUGUAAUAACGGCCCUUAGUAUACUA